CUCUCCGAGAGUGCUUCACCCUACCCGUGGGUCCGGAUGAGCCUACAGUUCCACCUUGAGGCUGACGCACAAACUUCUUGUCAGUGACAUUAAGAGCUUGCCCUUAAUGCAUCGAGUUAUGCAUGUGUCUGCAGCAUGGAAUCCAUUACACAGGGAAAAAAAAACACGUCCUGUUGGUGUGGAAUGGGCAAAGCAGAAGGAUCCAGCCCCAGGAAGAAUAUCACUUCUGAUGACAUUUCAGCUUUACAGCUGAUUGCACUUCCUCUUCUUGGAGACAGCCUCUGUCAUCCAGCAGCCCACGGUUACCUGAUGUGAGAGCUGCCUUCUGUAAGUGUGGUAUUGGUUCCCUAGUGUGGAUAGCAUAGUGGCAUCUGGGACAACACCGUCCCAGAGGAUGAAUUUGCAUUUCUAGA